GAUGAACGCUGGCGGCGUGCCUAACACAUGCAAGUCGAACGGAGAUUACGGACGGAAGUUUUCGGAUGGAAGACUGUAAUUCUUAGUGGCGGACGGGUGAGUAAUGCGUGGGCAACCUGCCCUAUACAGGGGGAUAGCAGCUGGAAACGGCUGGUAAGACCGCAUAAGUCGGUUAAAUCGCAUGAUUUGAUCGGGAAAUGAGCAAUCAGGUAUAGGAUGGGCCCGCGUCCGAUUAGCCAGUUGGCAGGGUAAAAGCCUACCAAAGCGACGAUCGGUAGCCGGACUGAGAGGUCGGACGGCCACAUUGGGACUGAGACACGGCCCAAACUCCUACGGGAGGCAGCAGUGGGGGAUAUUGCACAAUGGAGGAAACUCUGAUGCAGCGACGCCGCGUGAGUGAAGAAGUAUUUCGGUAUGUAAAGCUCUAUCAGCAGGGAAGAUGAUGACGGUACCUGACUAAGAAGCCCCGGCUAACUACGUG
rnacentral:rRNA from 1 species